rnacentral:rRNA from 1 species
GCUUACGGCCAUACCACCCUGAGAACGCCCGAUCUCGUCUGAUCUCGCAAGCUAAGCAGGGUCGGGCCUGGUUAGUACUUGGAUGGGAGACCGCCUGGGAAUACCAGGUGCUGUAAGCU